AUUGAUAUCAUACCUUAAUCAAAUUUGUCCAUUUCUCAAUCAAGAGUUCUUACCAUAUCAAUUAAUAAGAACAGUUAUUUAAAACCCAUUUGAUUUAACAAAUUUAGACAUGCUUGAUCUAGCUGAUACAAUUAGCAUAGAUCUAUCCCAUAAACAGUUCAUAAAUGAAGAACUUUAAUUUAAUUCACAGUUCAAUGGCAGUAGAACG
rnacentral:lncRNA from 1 species